rnacentral:rRNA from 1 species
CCAAUAGCGUAUAUUAAAGUUGUUGCAGUUAAAAAGCUCGUAGUUGAAUUUCGGGAUUGACACAUCGGUCGUGCCUUAAGGGGUAUGAGCUGGUGUAGUCAAUUUCUCACCUUCUGGAGAACCGCGAUGCCCUUAAUUGGGUGUCGCGGGGAACCAGGACCUUUACUUUGAAAAAAUUAGAGUGUUUAAAGCAGGCAUUUUGCUUGAAUACAUUAGCAUGGAAUAAUAAAAUAGGACGGCAUGAUUCUAUUUUGUUGGUUUCUAGGAUCACCGUAAUGAUUAAUAGGGAUAGUUGGGGGCAUUAGUAUUCAAUUGUCAGAGGUGAAAUUCUUGGAUUUAUUGAAGACUAACUACUGCGAAAGCAUUUGCCAAGGAUGUUUUCAUUAAUCAAGAACGAAAGUUAGGGGAUCGAAGACGAUCAGAUACCGUCGUAGUCUUAACCAUAAACUAUGCCGACUAGGAAUCAGACGAUGUUAAUUUUUUAAUGACUCGUUUGGCACCUUACG